rnacentral:rRNA from 1 species
UACGUAGGUGGCAAGCGUUGUCCGGAAUUAUUGGGCGUAAAGCGCGCACAGGCGGUCCUUUAAGUCUGAUGUGAAAGCCCACGGCUCAACCGUGGAAGGUCAUUGGAAACUGGAGGACUUGAGUACAGAAGAGGAAAGCGGAAUUCCACGUGUAGCGGUGAAAUGCGUAGAGAUGUGGAGGAACACCAGUGGCGAAGGCGGCUUUCUGGUCUGUAACUGACGCUGAGGUGCGAAAGCGUGGGGAGCAAACAGG